UCAAAUGCGCGUAACGAAAAUGUUUCAAAUGUCCUCUACUCAACGAAUCAUCACCAUGAGCUGGAUGUAUGUCUUUCUACCCAUCGUCUGGGGUGCUGUUGUGUCCUCUUACACAGUAGUGGAGCGGACCGUGAGACCAGGAGAAAACGUUAGUCUACAGUGUGACUGUAAACUCUCAUCUGGUGAAACUAUUGUUUGGUUCAGGAACUGUUCUCAUGAAAAUCAGCCAACACUUACUCUGAAAUGGAAGAACAGAGAUCAUGGCACUUUUGAUUAUGUAGAGAAUGAAAGACAUUUCUCCCAUUUAAAUAUGAAGUGGAACGAUUCGUCAAAAUUAUACACUUUACUGAUUAAAAACAUUACUGAUUCUCACCUUGGUCUCUACUACUGUGGAAGUGAAAAAACGAUUGUGAUAGAUGGAGACAAGAUUGUUCAAAAAUAUAUCAGCAGAUAUGGAAAUCUGACCACAAGGAUUUCAUUUGUUGUUGGAGACUCUGCUGCUCCAGACUGUGGAGAGUGCUGGAUGCUGCUGGUCAUCCUGUGUCCAUCCUCUGCUCUUCUCCUCUCCCUCCUCUCAUCCUUGGUCGUCUACCUCCGCUGCAGAAGGAAAGAUGAAGACCUCCAUGUUGCUCAGGGAACACCCAACAGUAGAGAUGUAACAUCAAUCAGGAACCAGGAUGAAGAUGGCUUGUGUUACGCAACACUGGAUAUCCCUCUACGUUCUCAGAGACCUAAAAAGAAGAGAGUCCAACCCUCAGAGUUCAGCACCUACUCAGCCAUCAAUACUAAGAGGAUGUGACCAUGACCAAGUCUUUUAAUGCAAACACAUGGACUCUACUUCUUUAAUAUGACCUAAUCUUUGUGCUGUCUAGAGGAGGAAGAACAUCAAUUUCCACUUCAGUCUCAAGAUAAUGCAAACAUUUAAGAAAGUAAAGCCGAUAUUAUGUUUGUGGGAAAUGGACAAAGGCCUCUGUAUGUGUAUCAGGUCGUAAAAUUUAACUUGCUCUGGCCCAUGUCAACAUAGUUUUCUUCUCUUCACUGGCAGGGCUCUUGGGAUCGCUGGGAAGCUCUUGUGUGGUGCGAGAAUAAUCACUGGGUCUUUCCUUCCUAAAACAAAAUGAACUGCACUCUGACCGUGAUUGUAUGACAGGCUAGAAUUGCAUGGUUUCCUUUUCAUAAUUGAUAUUUGACGUAUCCUCCUUUUCGUUGUUGGUUGCCUGGAAAGGCGUGGCAAUGACGACACCCAUCACCUUUAUGAAAAAUGUAUUUUCAACCAGAAGUGGUGGCAGCAGACACACAGAAAAGGCAGAGCGCUCUGAAAAAAAGUGUUGGGUGCAGCGUGUUUUCUCUGGGCUGCCGCAUGCGUUCUCAUAGGCCCUCUCCUUAUGGGCAACAAUCUAAAAAUAAACUGACUCUAACACGCUAUGUGGACACGGCCCUUGUUUCUUUUGCUUUGAUCCGGUUAGUUAAAGGGAUCCUGUCAAUAAUGUUGUCAGACACAUAAUGAUGUUUGCCCAUAUAUUUCCCUCAGACCCUGAUGCAGACACAGAUUCAACCUCCUCUUCGUUGUUUGUGUGUGUGUGUGUGUGUGUGUGUGUGUGUGUGUGUGUGUGUGUGUGUGUGUGUGUGUGUGUGUGUGUGUGUGUGUGUGUGUGUGUGUGUGUGUGUUUGUGCUUGGGUGCCUUUGAUAAGACAUGGUUGGUGUGUAAGCUGUAGGCUAUCUUGAAGGACCUGCUGACCCAUGAUGCUUGCUGUGAUUCUGUUUUAUUUACCAGACAACCCAUAACAUAACCGUUUUUCUCAUGUUGGCACAUAUCUUCAUUGAUGUGUUAGUUUUUGAAGAGAUAAAAUCCUGUCUUCAUGCUCAAUAAAGGGCAACAAAACCCCCAAAUUUGUGUCUCGAAA
ensembl:lncRNA